rnacentral:rRNA from 1 species
CCUACGGGAGGCAGCAGUGAGGAAUAUUGGGCAAUGGGCGCGAGCCUGAACCAGCCAAGCCGCGUGAAGGAUGACUGCUCUACGGGUUGUAAAUUUCUUUAUAAAGGACUAAAGUGAGGCACGUGUGCCUUUAUGUAUGUACUUUAUGAAGAAGGAGCGGCUAACUCCGUGCGAGCAGCCGCGGUAAUACGGAGGAUGCGAGCGUUUUCCGGAUUUAUUGGGUUUAAAGGGAGCGUAGGUGGGUUGUUAAGUUAGUUGUGAAAGUUUGUGGCUUAACCGUAAAAUUGCAAAUGAUACUGGGCGUCUUGAGUACAGGUGAGGUAAGCGGAAUUCCUGGUGUAGCGGUGAAAUGCGUAGAUAUCACGAAGAACACCGGUUGCGAAGGCAGCUUACUAGACUGCAACUGACAUUGAUGCUCGAAAGUGUGGGUAUCAAACAGGAUUAGAUACCCGUGUAGUC